UACGUAGGGCGCAAGCGUUGUCCGGAAUUAUUGGGCGUAAAGCGCGCGCAGGCGGUCCUUUAAGUCUGAUGUGAAAGCCCACGGCUCAACCGUGGAGGGUCAUUGGAAACUGGGGGACUUGAGUGCAGAAGAGAAGAGCGGAAUUCCACGUGUAGCGGUGAAAUGCGUAGAGAUGUGGAGGAACACCAGUGGCGAAGGCGGCUCUUUGGUCUGUAACUGACGCUGAGGCGCGAAAGCGUGGGGAGCAAACAGG
rnacentral:rRNA from 1 species